GAUGAACGCUGGCGGCGUGCCUAAUACAUGCAAGUCGAGCGAACGGACGAUAAGCUUGCUUCUCUGAUGUUAGCGGCGGACGGGUGAGUAACACGUGGAUAACCUACCUAUAAGACUGGGAUAACUUCGGGAAACCGGAGCUAAUACCGGAUAAUAUUUUGAACCGCAUGGUUCAAAAGUGAAAGACGGUCUUUCUGUCACUUCUAGAUGGUUCCGCGCUUCAUUAGCUAGUUGGUAAGGUAACGGCUUACCAAGGCAACGAUGCAUAGCCGACCUGAGAGGGUGAUCGGCCACACUGGAACUGAGACACGGUCCAGACUCCUACGGGAGGCAGCAGUAGGGAAUCUUCCGCAAUGGGCGAAAGCCUGACGGAGCAACGCCGCGUGAGUGAUGAAGGUCUUCGGAUCGUAAAACUCUGUUAUUAGGGAAGAACAUAUGUGUAAGUAACUGUGCACAUCUUGACGGUACCUAAUCAGAAAGCCACGGCUAACUACGUG
rnacentral:rRNA from 1 species